rnacentral:other from 2 species
AUUUCCCUGCUUUGUCCGUGAUGGUUUCGGAGGUUCGGUUGAGCCAAUGUUACUUUGAGUGAAUUGCAACACCGUGUGGUGUGCACGCCUCUGAGUGAGGUAGCCUGAAACGCGGAUGGACCCAGCGAUUCCACCUGCUACACGCAGGUUCAUCCGACCUCCCCACACGGCAAAGCGGGGCUUUU